UACGGAGGGUGCGAGCGUUGUUCGGAAUCACUGGGCGUAAAGGGCGUGUAGGCGGUCCGUUAAGUCUGAUGUGAAAGCCCGGGGCUCACCCCCGGAAGUGCAUUGGAAACUGGCGGACUCGAGUCCCGGAGAGGAGAGUGGAAUUCCUGGUGUAGCGGUGAAAUGCGUAGAUAUCAGGAGGAACACCGGUGGCGAAGGCGGCUCUCUGGACGGUGACUGACGCUGAGACACGAAAGCGUGGGGAGCAAACAGG
rnacentral:rRNA from 1 species